UGAUAAUGUAUUCAAUAUUUUUUUUUAUCACUAAAUUGUAUUUAUUUGUUGUUGUAAAUUGUCAUUUUACAUAUAGACAAUUGUUGUAAGAAACGUGGUCGGUCAAGGGGAUUGGCUACAAUUUCUUUGCCAUGUGGCUAAAAGGUAAAAGUUAGGAUCAAUCGUUAUCACGAAGGGGUUGGUAAGAAGGCAACACAAUUACUUGUGUGGAUGAGCACACACGUAAGGAUACCUACCACAAUUAUGCCUCUCAAUUAUCCGGAAUGGAGGAAAGUUCCUCAACACUAUAAAGAAGCAAUUUGGGAAAAGGUUAUGGUAUGGUGACACCAAAAUUAACAUUUUCAAUUUAUAAUUUUUUUAAAGUGUAUUUAUUUUAUUCUUUUAAUUAAUAUAAUAUAUUGUUCUGUAGGACUAUUAUGAAAUUGAAACUAAAGAAAAAAAAUGGGUUUUUAGAAAAAUGGGUAUCUAGUGAAAGGACUUCAGGCUUGAAUUAAAAGAAAUAUAUAAUAAAUCAACAACGAUGAGUGUUUUGCAAAAUGUGAUGUUCAUAUUCCAUUGGAUCAGUGGAAAUACCUUAUAGCUAUGUGGGGUGAUGUCAAGUAUAAGGUAACGAUGCCUAUGCAAACCUGUUACUUGUUUUUGGUAUUUGUUUGCCAAACAUUAUUUGAUAUGUGCUUUCACUACAGUAGGAAAUUUGUUCGCAGAAUAAAGAGAAUAGAAAAAAACAGAAAAUGAGUCACACUGCGGGCCAACAGAGUUUUUCCCAAGUUCAUGAUAAAAAGCUUCAGGAGUCCGGUGAGGAAUCGUUAAAGGUUGAUUUUUUCAGGAUAACACAUGUGAAAAAGAACUUAGAACCGAUUGAUGAAGAAUCAAGCAAAAAGCUGAAAGAGAUGGAAGAUAAGUUAGCAGUGAUACCAGUAGAAUUACAAAAAAACAAAGAGACUCAUGAAUCUAUGGACAGAAUCAUUUGGUGAGGAGUCCCAUGACUGAGUGCGCCUAGUUGGAGUUGGGGUAAGCCUAAAAGACCUUGAAUUGUCAAAAAGUAAUGCUACACUCACCCGGAAGAACAAGGAGUUGCAAAAUAAAGUGGAGAUGUUAGAGGAAAAGAUGGAAUUAGUAAAUGGAAAGCUUGAAGAUGAAAAGAAGAAGAAUGAAGAUUUAAUUAGCAGUAUGCAAUCACAAAUUGAAAAACUUACCCAACUCUUCAUGAAUAGAAGCUCACAGGAUUCAGUUAAACUAGGUUGACAUAAUUGGGGUGAGUUACUCUUCUUCGAAGGAUUUAUGACGUAGAAAAUGAAGGCAUAAUGCUAGCAAGAGAAAAGAAUGAAUCCAAGACCUUUACAAAUCAAAUUUGAUUUAUAUUUCACAUGAUAGAAAAAAUGUUAUCUUGCUACUUUGAGUGCAAUGGUUUCACUAUUUUUGUAAUGUUUUCAAUUUCAUUUGCUUAGGCUUAGAGAACUGAGUUUGUUGAACAAUAUUUUGAAAUGAUCCACAAUCAUUUUCUCUUUUGUCAA